AAAAGCCGGCCAUCACAGCUGGUGACGCUUCCGCUCUCCCUGUGAGGGCGAGGGCGCGGCGGCGGCUUUCCUCAGCUCCUCAGGGGCCUUAGAAUGGCGACGGGCGAGCCGCGAGGAGGGUUCCUUCUUAAAGGAGAAGUUGGAGGAAACUCUGUUAUUGGAAGUCUUGUGACUGUAUGAGGACAGUGCUGGAGUACUGCCAUGGUACUUUGACACAUUAUCAUCCUAGUAAAUGACCCAAGUGUUGAAAUUCAGUGUGGAGUGAUGGCUUUUGUAAAACUUUGCCAUGUGUUUCGGCCCUUCUGGCAAGCACAGCAUUAUCUGAUGGUAUGUCACUGGGGGAGGAAUGGAAGGAGACAAGGUAAAAGAGAAUAUGGGCUUUAUAUGAGCUAUAGUAUUUAAACUAAAGCUGUAAAUAAAGAAAAGCUUGCCUGUAAGUUUACAGACAUACAAUUAAGACCCUUACUAUUAUCUAAUCCUUUUUCUUGCCUUAUGAUUUUAUGAUAAAAAGCAUUACUGUUGCUUUUGGACUUUCAUAAUAACUCUAGUAGCCACAGAGAGAACCAAAUAUUGUUUGUUUAUUUACUUGUGAACCAAAUUAUGCUCCUCUGCAAACUUCACUGUGUAAUUUGCACUGGAUUUGCUGUUUACAAGCAUGCACACACUGGUUUAAGUACUGCCCUCUCCCUGGAAUUAGAAUUGCCAUGCAAGUGGCUAUGAUUUUAGUGAAACAGUUGCAACUCAUUAUAUCUCCCAAAGUCAGAAAUAGUCCUCCAUUCAAAUCUGCAGUCAGUGCCUUUAAUAAAUAAAACAUGGCUGUCAGAAUUAA